rnacentral:rRNA from 1 species
UACGUAGGGUGCAAGCGUUGUCCGGAAUUAUUGGGCGUAAAGAGCGUGUAGGCGGCCCGAUUAGUCCGCUGUGAAAGUCCAGGGCUCAACCCUGGAAUGCCGGUGGAUACUGUCGGGCUAGAGUCCGGAAGAGGAGAGUGGAAUUCCCGGUGUAGCGGUGAAAUGCGCAGAUAUCGGGAAGAACACCCGUGGCGAAGGCGGCUCUCUGGGACGGUACUGACGCUGAGACGCGAAAGCGUGGGGAGCGAACAGG